rnacentral:rRNA from 1 species
GUCUGCAACUCGACUACAUGAAGCUGGAAUCGCUAGUAAUCGCAGAUCAGAAUGCUGCGGUGAAUACGUUCCCGGGUCUUGUACACACCGCCCGUCACACCAUGGGAGUCGGAACACCCGAAGUCCGUAGCCUAACCGCAAGGGGGGCGCGGCCGAAGGUGGGUUCGAUAAUUGGGGUGAAGUCGUAACAAGGUAGC